AGAGCUCAAAUUUUGAAUCUGGCGGUCUCCGGCCGUCCGAGUUGUAAUCUAGAGAAGCGUCAUCUGCGCCGGACCGUAUGUAAGUCCCCUGGAACGGGGCGUCAUAGAGGGUGAGAAUCCCGUCUUUAAUGCGGAUCCCGAUGCUGUACGUUGCGCUCUCAAAGAGUCGAGUUGUUUGGGAAUGCAGCUCAAAACGGGUGGUAAAUUCCAUCUAAAGCUAAAUAUUGGCGAGAGACCGAUAGCGAA
rnacentral:rRNA from 1 species